rnacentral:misc_RNA from 1 species
AACGGUCUAUACCUGCGGUACCUGCGGAGGGAUCAUUAUUGAAUAAACUUGAUGUAGUUGAGCUGACUCUCGGGAGUAUGUGCUCGCUCGUCAUCUUUAUCUUUCCACCUGUGCACUUUUUGUAGAUUUGGAUGUAACUGUCCGAGGCAACUCGGUUGGGAGGAAUGCUGUCUCUGAUGGCUUUCCUUGUAUGUCCAAGUCUAUGUUUUCAUUUACUCCAAGUAUGUAACAGAAUGUAUC